UACGUAGGUGGCGAGCGUUGUCCGGAUUUAUUGGGCGUAAAGGGCGCGCAGGUGGUGCGGUAAGGCUGCCGUGAAAUCUCCCGGCUCAACUGGGAGGGUGCGGUGGCGACUGCCGGACUGGAGGCACUCAGAGGCCGGUGGAAUUCCCGGUGUAGUGGUGAAAUGCGUAGAGAUCAGGAGGAACACCAGUGGCGAAGGCGGCCGGCUGGGGGUGACCUGACGCUGAGGCGCGAAAGCGUGGGGAGCGAACAGG
rnacentral:rRNA from 1 species